AUGGUUGAUUAUAAAAUUUCUUAAUAUUUUUAUAUAUUCACUUCUCAAUUUUUUAUCAAGAUCUCCAAACUAGCAUGAAUUUGUAAAUAUGCAAGUAUCACUUUGCUUUUUUUUUUGUGUGUUCUUUGUAGUUAUGUUGGAUGCAAAUGAAGUGUUUGAUGAUUUUUCUCAAUAAAGACUAAAGAGAUUAAGCUUAAGCUUCAGAUUAUUUAUUUGUUUAAUGUUACUUGAUUAAUGUUUCUCCGAUGUAUAUUAGUUUUAUUUUAAGCUUAUGUAUAUAAGUUUUGCUGAAAUUAUGGCUUGUAUAUUAACGCCUCUAAUGGACCUGGAGCUGGUAACUUACUGUGCUACGUAUAUGCAGCCUGUUUUAGAACUAUCUAAACAAUAAAUAAAAGCAAGAAUUAUAUAUUUAUAUAUGAUCCCUGUCUACGAAAAUUAAAAAAAGGGGAUGUAUAUUAUAUUUUAUCAUCAUUGUAGUAUCUUGUGUUCUCUUUUAAAAUGGUCUAUUUACAACUCGUAUUUGUGCAUGGUCUUUUAUUUUCCCUAGCAUGGUCUAAUGCAUACAUCUUAUUCUUGUUUUUCCAUUUUUAUUUCAUUUGAAAAGUGAUUCCCUGAGGCACUCUGCCAUGAACUAACAAUGAUAUUUUUUAUAUUUCAUUUUUUCAAUACAAUUAAUAGUUCUGUUCCUUUGGUUCUUUUGGCUAUGAAUUUCCGGUUUUUAAAGGAUAGAAAAAAUUUUAUAUAGAAUAAAUAAACAGGAAAGUCUUCUAGUUAAAUAUUUUAAUGUUUUCUUCUUUUUUUGACAGAAUGGAUCCCAAAUAGAGAAAAUGAGAGUUAUUACCUGCUCGAUUUUACAUUUAGAAUUAGUGAAUGACCUUAUGGUUAUGUUUUUUUUUUUUUUUUUUGAUUUGCUUUGUUUUGAUUAUAUUGCAAUUGAGAAAAAAGAAAAGAAAACGGAAUGAUAAUUAUAGUAGGCAAGAAGUAAGGGAUGUUAGUGUCGAUAGGAUUAUGUAUUUUAAUGAUCUAGCAUGUAUAGAAAACACAAGAAUGGAUAGGCGUGCCUUUCAUGCAUUGUGUAACAUGAUUAGAGGGGUUAGAAGGAUAGAACCAAGUAGGAAUAUGGGUAUAGAAGAACUGGUUGCCAUGUUUUUACAUAUUAUAGCACAAGGCGUCAAAAUUAGAGUAAUAAAGAGACAAUUUCUGAGAUCUAAAGAAACAAUUAGUAGGAUGUUUAAUGAUGUAUUGCUUGCUAUUUUGAGAUGUCAUAAUCUCUCACUGAAAAAACCUCAACCAUUUAGCCAGGAUAGAAUGGAUGAACGAUGAAAAUGGUUCAAGGUAAUUUAUCUUGCUAAUGUUAUUAAAUCUAAUAUGUUUGGUGUGCUUUGGGAUUGAGUCAAUUGAGUUUUUCUUUGGAUUUUAGAAUUGCCUAGGAGCCUUAGAUGACACCCAUAUCAAAGUCAAUGUCCUUGAGGCUGAAAAGCCUAGAUAUCAACAAAAAAGGUGACAAUAACCAAUGUGCUUGGAGUGGUUGCUCUCGAUAUGCAAUUUAUCUAUGCACUGGCAGGUUGGGAGGGUUUAGCUGUGGAUUCUAAGGUAUUGUGAGAUGCAUUAUCUCGCAAUGGGUUUAGUGCUCUCCAAGGUCAUUACUACUUAUGUGAUGCCAACAUGAAUUAUGAAGGGUUUUUGGCACCUUAUAGAGGACAAAAUAUCAUUGAGUGAGUUUAAUCCACAUAAUCAAUCCAAUACACCCUAAGAGCUUUUUAAUAUGAAACACUCACAAGUUAGGAAUGUCAUUGAAAGGGCAUUUGGAGUAUUGAAAGCAAGAUGGGGAAUUUUAAGGGGAAGGCCAUUUAUCCUAUUCAAGAGUCAAGAGUUAUAACUACUUGUUGCCUUUUGCAUAAUCAUAGUAGAAGAGUGAUGGUUGUGGAUCUUAUUGAUGAGAUAGAAAAUCAAAAUAUGCUUGGAUUAGAUGGUGGGACGAUCUACCAUAUUGAGGCGAGCGAUGCUUGGGGUAGAUGGAGGGAUCAAUUUGCACAAGAAAUGUGGAAGCAAUGGAGGAGAAGACAUCAUGCCCAAUAAUUGUGGUCAUUUUUCUGUGUCAGGCCCAAGCAAGCACUUUUUGGAGUGUCUCUCUAUAUUUCCGUAGUACAUUAGUCUGAUCGAGUAGAACUGAGUUCUCCUCUAGUAGAACUGCCAGAAAGUUUGUAAACAGCGGCUGUCCAUUGUAACAUUGAUUUCAUUUUGUUGAUGCGUUUCUGUUCUUGUACAAGAGUUGUGCAUGUUUGCGUCUUUGUAGCUUUGAUUUGGAUAAUAGUGAAGCUUUACCUUCUGGUGGUUUUUUAAUCUCUCUUAUAUUGAGAGGUUUUUUCCCACGUUAAAGUUUGGUGUUUUGUUUUUCUGUCUUCUCUUUAACAUUCUGCUGCUAUUAACUA